UAACAGGAAACCUAAAACAAACACAUCACAAUUCUCCGUGGGGCAAGAAAUACACACAACAGACAUGUUUAUUUGAAACAACGGAACAGAGAACACACGAUAACUCAAAAUGGAGAUUCAUAGGGCUUCUGGUGGAACACCAAAAAACCAGACUAGUUCGGAAUUUGCACAUCAGCAUUACAAAUCCGAACUACACACAGCUUGGACAUCAAGUCCUUUAUUCUGAAAAACAUAAACAAACGACACUGACACUGACACUGAAACAAAAACAAAACAGGCCCUCAAAGACACUCCUUUUCCUCGUUCUAUUCCUCCUUCCAGCAGCCCUUCAGAACGGACUUGGGAGAUCCACAGAAAGGAGUCCUAGUGAACUUCUGGUAGACAAUGGAACCACCCUUGCCAAAUUCUUCUGGACUACACUCAGCAAGAGAGUAGCCUUUCACAUCAACAGAGCAAACCCGCUGCAGUAACUUGGUAGCAACAUCAGCAUGCAAAGCAAUAGAGAACUCAUCUGGCUCGAAACAUGCCAGCACCCUCUCAACCAGGGGACCCAGCUUCAUGGUUUUCAUAUCAUACCCAACUGCUUCAAAGCUAGCAUAGCUAA
rnacentral:lncRNA from 1 species